rnacentral:ncRNA from 2 species
CGUCCAAGGAGCGUUGCGACGGGGCCGGUUGCCGGCUCCGCCAGGCUUGGAGCUCGGAACCACGCUCACCCGCC